rnacentral:rRNA from 1 species
UACGUAGGGGGCGAGCGUUGUCCGGAAUCAUUGGGCGUAAAGCGCGUGUAGGCGGUUCAGUAAGUCUGCUGUGAAAGUCCAGGGCUCAACCCUGGGAUGCCGGUGGAUACUGCUGAACUAGAGUGCGGAAGAGGCGAGUGGAAUUCCCGGUGUAGCGGUGAAAUGCGCAGAUAUCGGGAGGAACACCAAUUGCGAAGGCAGCUCGCUGGGACGUUACUGACGCUGGAGACGCGAAAGCGUGGGGAGCAAACAGG